UAUUGAGUGCCUGACUAAAGGAUAAUUUUGAUAGAAUUAAUCAUGUGUAAAUACACCUCAAUAA
rnacentral:tRNA from 1 species